CCCUACGGGACGCAGCAGUGGGGGAUAUUGCACAAUGGGGGAAACCCUGAUGCAGCGACGCCGCGUGGACGAAGAAGUAUUUCGGUAUGUAAAGUCCUAUCAGCAGGGAAGAAGAAAUGACGGUACCUGACUAAGAAGCCCCGGCUAACUACGUGCCAGCAGCCGCGGUAAUACGUAUGGAGCAAGCGUUAUCCGGAUUUACUGGGUGUAAAGGGAGCGCAGGCGGCCUUGCAAGUCUGAUGUGAAAUACCGGGGCUCAACCCCGGAGCUGCAUUGGAAACUGUGAGGCUGGAGUGUCGGAGAGG
rnacentral:rRNA from 1 species